rnacentral:rRNA from 1 species
GACGAACGCUGGCGGCGUGCUUAACACAUGCAAGUCGAACGGAAAGGCCCUGCUUUUGUGGGGUGCUCGAGUGGCGAACGGGUGAGUAACACGUGAGUAACCUGCCCUUGACUUUGGGAUAACUUCAGGAAACUGGGGCUAAUACCGGAUAGGAGCUCCUGCUGCAUGGUGGGGGUUGGAAAGUUUCGGCGGUUGGGGAUGGACUCGCGGCUUAUCAGCUUGUUGGUGGGGUAGUGGCUUACCAAGGCUUUGACGGGUAGCCGGCCUGAGAGGGUGACCGGCGACAUGGGGACUGAGAUACGGCCCAGACUCGUACGGGAGGCAGCAGUGGGGAAUAUGGCACAAUGGGCGGAAGCCUGAUGCAGCAACGCCGCGUGCGGGAUGACGGCCUUCGGGGUGUAAACCGCUUUCGCCUGUGACGAAGCGUGAGUGACGGUAAUGGGUAAAGAAGCACCGGCUAACUACGUG